UGACACGCAAGCAAUGACAAGGCAACAACAGCGAAUAACUGGAGGACACCUGGCACAUCGGUCUCGGGGUGUUACACUACUGGGCCUCAAACCCUAGUGAAGGGUCUCUCCACCCCCGUCCCCGUGUUUGCUCUAACCUCGCCAAAGCCGUCGCUCCUGCAGUCCUUCGGCGCCAUCCAAUCUCACGCCAGACUCCUGCGGUAGGAGAGGAGAGUAUGAACGACGUUUCUUGCAGUGACAGCGACGACCGAUGAGGAGCCCUUUCUGUUUCCACCUCCUUUCUUUCAUGGAUGCCGUGUCUUCUUUGCCCGUCAGAGCCCAGAUCUGUCUAUUGUUUGUACUGGUGAGUCCAUUUUGAACGCCCCCUCCCCCUCCUUUCCAUCUCUUUUAUGGGAUGUUCAAGCGCUCAUAUUUCUUAGAUCAUCGUUCGAGAGAAGAGAUGGGAAGAGAUUGAUUCCUGCAUUAAGAAUCUGUCCAAAGACACUAAGGUUUGUUUCUGUAUUGAGAUCUUUUCUUUAGUUAUGACUGAAUUUUCCCAAGAGCUCCUUUUGUAAUUUAUGAUGUCAAUAUCCAAGAAAUUUGAACCUGAGUUUUCAUACUUUAGUAACUGAAUUUCAUUGAUCCAAAUGAUAAUAUUGUAAUCUGUACAGACUUCCUGUGAUUUCUGACCCAACUCAUCUCUAUACAGACGUCCUGACUGGUGGUGAUUCUGUUCAGGGAGAAGAAAAUAUACAAUUCAUUGUGGCACUGUUAACGCUAGCAUCAGGAGGUUGUUCAUGUCAUCAAAAUGUGCAACCAGAAUGAAAGUGCAACUACACUGCAGCUUCUUCGAGGUAUGCAGAGUAUGUCCUCUCAUACAUCCUGUUCUUAAUCUGUCAAUUAUAUCCAAGAUAUGGGUUCACCAGGUACAAAGAACAUCUUAGUGGGAUUUCAAAAAAAAAGUUCAACUUAUUAGUGUUAGCUUCCUAUGUUAUUCUCCAUGGAACCCUCUCCUUAAUUAAGACAGGGUAUCCUUAAAAAGAAAUGUAAGACGAAGGAGGGUAGAGGAGAUCGAGGAGGGAGGGGGCCGUUGCGAGGAGAUAGUUGGAGGUCAAGCAUCGGCACUGGAGACGAGGACCCGCGAGCGGGAGAGGCGACGCUGGGCUGGCCAUUUCCACUGCGUCGGCAGAAGCCAGCGGAGUGAGCUCAUCAGCGUGGCAUCAAACUAUACAAUGAAGUCAGAGUCCGGCCAGAUCGUUUGCAAGUGAAAUAAGGGACCGACAACUGAAUAUUUUUAUGCCAACACACUUCUUGCUGGUGUGUCCUUUUAUCAAUAACAUGCCUGCUUCUCAGGAGACGCAAACUGUACCCGAUUAAGAAUGAGAAGAACAACCUUUGCUUCUACUAGGUACUUUCAUUUAUUGACAUUCACCUGUUUGUGUUGUUAACAUUUAGUUCCAUCUAUCCAUCAAUUAGUUAUUAGUUUUUGUAUAUUUCAAUUAAGCGUUGGGGAAGAGUAGCAAAUCAUAAAUUUGAAACAUGUAUCCUCGCAUCUGUGACUGUCUUAUAGUCCAUGAAUAAAUAGUUACUACUUCAUUGGCGCAGUAUUAUUUGCCGAAAUCCCUUUGGGCCAAUAUUUGACAUGUCUUUAUUUCCUCCUUUCCCUUAUACAAUAUUAAAUUUUGGCCUGGGCUUAUGUUUUUACUACCCCUAUCAGAUCAUUAUUUAUUGUAAUUUUUGUGCAAUUUUCUAUAUCGCCUGUUCUGAUUGCACUAAAACUUUCUUCUGCUAACAUAAUUUUUUCAUGUUAUGAGGUUUAUCUAUCCAUUUUUUUGCAUGUGACGAUAUAAAUGAAUUUUUUAGAUAAAAGGCUGAGCUCAACAUGCCUUGAAAAGGUUCGUGCAUAGUUUGGAAAGCUAAUUAGUUGAAUGUAGUGUCCGAUAUUCUUAAGCAUCUCCUCGGUUUUAUCAUUACCAAUUUGAGACGAUUUUCUUUGUCUCGGUUUAAGGCUAUUUAGCCUUCAGUUCGUGACCAAUCUCAUAAUUUGCUCUAAAUGAUAAGUUUUCACUGCUCCAGUGGUUUGGCCUGUUAGAAACAGUUGUAGUGUACUCAUUUGUUGGGAGUGUGAGUGCUCAUCGCGCUAUGUAUUGUAGAAAUCUACCGGAUUAGUCAACGGUAUGCUGCACCGUUUGCUUCAAAACAAUCCUGAUAUAUUUACUGAUUAUACAAUUCUUCGAUUUCCAUUGGUCAUUUUUCUCUUUGUGUUCUCAACUCUAUGUGAUAUCUAUUUUUCUUAAAUUUUGUGCAGCAAAUGAGUAAGAACUAUUACAUUGUACAUGCUACUUAUCACCUUCAUCGUUGUGUUGUGAACAAAGUUGAACUGUUUGGGCUUGUGAAAAAGGUAGAAAUUACUAGAUAUCGUGUCAUGAGAUAUGGCCCUUUUUAAUGGCAUACCAUAUGAAGAUUCUUUUAGUCAGUAGAACUUCUAUGCAUGCCUUCAGCACAUUACAUCUUCAUUCGGUGAAGGAUGUCAUCAAAAGUGAAGGAUGGCAUUGGAAUUUUCUUCAUUAUUUAACCAAGUGAAGGAUAGCAUCACACAAUGGUGUAGUCUAGGAUAGGGAUACCUACAUUUUUUUAUUUUUGCACAACACAUUGC